UGUGGCUGGAGAUGAGGCAUUUGGGAAUGAGGUUGAGGAUGUUGCGGCAUUUGGGAAUGUUGUUGUGCAUUCGACUGUGGAUGAGAUAGGGGCAGGUGUGGGUGUUGCUCCUUUCUAGCAGGAAGAUAUUUUUCGGUUGGUUGGCAUCCCAUUGGUAAAGAACUCCUUGGCUGGUUUUAACACUUCCAUAUUGUCAUAUGGAUAGGUAUGAAUUGAUAAUGUGCAUGCCUGCAAAUGACAUGGGUUUUAAAGUUUGGUGGAUGGAUGGUCUUCAUCCAAGUACUUAUGCCCAUUUCAUGUUAUGCAGGAAAAUCACAUUGAUCCGAACCAGCUAUUGCUAGGUCCGGUACUAUGAUUUGUGCCCUUUGGCACUUAGCAAACUAGAUUUCUGAGAUGUCCUCUUUUCCAAACUGAAAACACAAAUACUAGCCUGGUUCAAAAUUUAUGUCCUCAUGAAUGUUUCAAUGGUGGGUGUUCAUUCUCCAUUUUUGUUUUUUCCUGUUAUGUGGCUUACUUGCAUUUCGUAUCUGCUCCAUCAGCUAGACAUCAUCAUGAUUAGGAACUCAAAUGGACCUUCAUCAGUAUGAUACAUUUGACUUGGAUCAUUGUUGAAAAAUGAUUGAUGGUUAUCAUACAUAUUAAUUUGACGUGGAAGCUUACCGAAAGAGAUGAGGCCUUGGUGCAAAGCAAGAGUGCCAUAGAAAAAGUUGAAUUCUUGAAGAAACGAUGACCAAGAAAAGGAGGUGGUUGAUUGAUAAACAGCCCGAUGGCAGUAGUGGAGGUUAUUCAGGUGGGAUCCAUGAUCUUGAAACACAACUCAAGCUUUAUGGUACGGAUUCCAAAGAACUCAAGUGGAUUUUUCUUUUCUUUUCCUUUUUUCCUUUCUUUCUGGAAGAUGACUUUGAAAUGGCAUUUGGUUGUUUUGUUUCUUUGAAUUUGGUUCUCCAAUGGUAGAAAAUGGUAACUUUCAUUUUGGGUUUUUAAAUUCCUAGGUCCUCAACUGCAGAAAUUCAAAACCCAAAUCCAAUUUUUGAUUUUUGGAUUCAAAAUUGUUUGGCAUUUAGAGAGCCAAAGUUUCUAUGGCCUAAACAUAGAUGACUUGACCUU